rnacentral:misc_RNA from 1 species
AUGAAAUCAAAGAGCAUCCCAGGUAAUCAUUCUUGUGAAGUUAUCAUCCUGUUAGCUGUUGCCAGUGCAAAUCCCUGGUGGAAGUUGCAUUAAAGAUAGAUUAAUGUUUAUGCAUACCUUGAUUUGAGUAUAUUCAAACUCAAACUGAGUUCAGACUACUAUUGUAUGCAGUGAUGUAGGCUUGUUUGGCUUUAGUGUAGUAGAUGUGAAAGCUUAUUGCUUCAGGAUUAGUAGGAUAUCAUGGAUUUUUCACAUCCUGUCUCCAAUUGUGUAGGAGAUUUUCUGGUUCUAGGAUUUAUUUUAUGGUAAGCAAAUUACUUGUUUCCUGUCAUAACUUUCAAAAGAUAGCAUAUACUUUGAAUUCAGGAAAUAGAAAUGACCAAAAGAAAAGGUACCUCAUCAAUGAGGAUUAAGUUUAAAUUUUUUGGCAAAUCCGAGUGUAGGCAUGUAAAAUGUAAUUGAUAUCUUUCUUUACAAUUGCAUGCUAUUGUAAAUAGCUCAUCAUGACUCCUGGAAAGAUCAGGCUUGAUUGUGGAGUACUCUUGCACUGUGUCAAUUGAGGGGAUGAAGGAAUGCUUACUCAAUUACCUUCAUUGGACAUUGUCAUUCGAUUAUUAAUUUAUUUAUUGAGCAGAAGGGGAUUGAAGGGUUCCUUGUACUAUCCCAUGAUCACCUAAAUUAUUGAAAAAUGUUUUCCCCUAAAUUGGGUUGAGAGGGGAGAUAGAUUGUCGUCCCAAUUCCUUAACUUGUUCUUGAAUUCCAAGAUUACACUUCAUUUGGUGCAUUGUCCUUCUAAUAAAUUGUUUUCAAACCGAGUCAGCCAAGAGAAUCUCACGAU